AUUGAACGCUGGCGGCAGGCCUAACACAUGCAAGUCGAGCGGAUGAAGGGAGCUUGCUCCUGGAUUCAGCGGCGGACGGGUGAGUAAUGCCUAGGAAUCUGCCUGGUAGUGGGGGAUAACGUCCGGAAACGGGCGCUAAUACCGCAUACGUCCUGAGGGAGAAAGUGGGGGAUCUUCGGACCUCACGCUAUCAGAUGAGCCUAGGUCGGAUUAGCUAGUUGGUGGGGUAAAGGCCUACCAAGGCGACGAUCCGUAACUGGUCUGAGAGGAUGAUCAGUCACACGGGAAGUGAGCCACGGUCCAGACUCCUGCGGGAGGCAGCAGUGGGGAAUAUUGGACAAUGGGCGAAAGCCUGAUCCAGCCAUGCCGCGUGUGUGAAGAAGGUCUUCGGAUUGUAAAGCACUUUAAGUUGGGAGGAAGGGCAGUAAGUUAAUACCUUGCUGUUUUGACGUUACCAACAGAAUAAGCACCGGCUAACUUCGUG
rnacentral:rRNA from 1 species